rnacentral:sRNA from 1 species
GCCGGGUGUGGUGGUGGGCACCUGUAAUCCCAGCUACUCGGGAGGCUGAGGCAGGAUAAUCACUUGAACCCAGGAGAUGGAGGUUGCAAUGAGCCGAGUUCGUACCACUGCACCCCAGCCUGAGCAACAGAGUGAGACUCUGUCUCUAAAUAAGUAAAUGAAUGAAUGAAUAAGAUAGCUCAGGUGCCGUAGCUCACUUAAGCCCAAGAGUUUGAGACCAGCCUGGGCGACAUAGUGAGACCCUGUCUUU